GACGAACGCUGGCGGCGUGCUUAACACAUGCAAGUCGAACGAUGAAGAAGAGAAACGCGAACUUCGGUUCAAAUUUCACUUCGGAUUAGUGGCAGACUGGUGAGUAACGCGUGAGCAACCUACCUCUUACAAAGGGAGAGCCUCGGGAAACCGUGAUUAAUACCAUAUGACACAUUCAUAAGGCAUCUUAAGAAUGUUAAAGCUACGGCGGUAAGAGAUGGGCUCGCGUCCCAUUAGCUAGUUGGUGAGGUAACGGCCCACCAAGGCGACGAGGGGUAACCAGGCUGAGAGGGUGAACGGUCACAUUGGAACUGAGACACGGUCCAAACUCCGACGGGAGGCAGCAGUGGGGAAUAUUGCACAAUGGAGGGCACUCUGAUGCAGCGACGCCGCGUGAGCGAUGAAGGAAUUCGUUUCGUAAAGCUCUGUUCUAUGGGAAGAAAAGGACUGUACCAUAGGAGAAAGCCCCGGCUAAAUACGUG
rnacentral:rRNA from 1 species